GAAAUGCGAUAAUUUAUGUGAAUUGCAGAACCCUGUGAAUCAUCGAAUCCUUGAACGCAAAUUGCACUCUUGGGACCUCCUGAGAGUGUGCCUGUUUGAGUGUCGGUAAUUUUUCAAAAAACAAUCACAUUUAUUUGUGUAAAUGGUUAUUCGAAAAUAAAUUCUCUCUAUUUUCGAUAAACUAAAGUAAAUUAUGUUUGGUUAAUAAAAUAUGAAUAUAUUUUAUUUAAACCUCAGAAAGAAUUACUAAUAAACUAACCCAAGUGGUUUCUAUUUUUUUCAAUAAAAAAAUAUGAAUUCCUUGGUUAAUUUAUUUUUCUUUUUUGAGGUAUAAAUAUAUAUAUAUUUUUUAUUAACUCUUUACCAAGAUAAUAUUCUGAUAUGGAUGGAAAUAUCAUCAUCUAUAUUAGAAAAUUAUUUUAAAAAACAAAAAUCUCGACCUCAAAUUAGGCAAGAUUACCCGCUGAAUUUAAGC
rnacentral:misc_RNA from 1 species